ACGUCCGUAGCUCAGGGGUUAGAGCAGCACCCUUAUACGGUGAGGGCCGGUGGUUCAAACCCAUCCGGACGUA
rnacentral:tRNA from 2 species